rnacentral:lncRNA from 1 species
UUUAGUUCAUGUGGUAUCUUAUUUAUGGACCAAAAAACAUUUGGCUCCUUCAUUACGAAAAGGUUCAGAGAAUACAAUGUACGUCGUCUACAGGAUGUAGUAAAGAAUUAUUCAGGUUUGUUAUGAGGACUCGUAGGCUCACCAGCUACCACCGGUAUGUCCUGUCCAAGAUAUCUCUGCAACAUUUGAUCAUCAUCCUGGUUAAAUAUUGAAACAUUGAUCUCAUCUCCAGGUCCCGCCUCAUGACUACCGAAUUUCCAAUGGCUUAGCCAUGUCAUAUACUCGCAGGCUCACCAGCUACCACCGGUAUGUCCUGUCCAAGAUAUCUCUGCAACCAGCUCUCUGUAGUGGACUAGACAUAUCCAGUGAAGUAUAAUCGUGUCGUUCCAUGAUGUGCCCAUGGUUGCCACUCCAACGGGAAGAUACACUGAGAUAGUUCCUCACAUGUUUGUUCUAUCUUUCGUCGUCAAAUAGUACGUAUACGGGAUAGAAGUAAUAAGCUAUUUCCAGAAAGCCAGCAAAUAAAGAAAUGCAGCUUUGAAGAUAAUAACUGAAGAUUUUAUUGAGAGACUUUGAGAGCAAGAAAGGAGAGUUUGUUCAACAUUCAGAAUGUCCUUGAUUCCUACACAGCAGGUGAAUAUAUCUAUCUAGGAAAAUGAAAUGUAAAUUACAGCGACAAGUAAAUGAAAUACAAUUAAUUAUGGAGAGCACUAUGAGAGAAUAACCCAUCUAAAGGUAAAUGCCAAAGCCACUACUCUUACUUGAAUUUUGAUUUAUCAUCAAGAUAAUAAAAUGACAUUAAUAAUAACAAUUUAUAUAAACAAGAACCAUAAAUAUGACGAGUCAAGUUUGUGGUACCUUUGGAUUCAAGAACAAAUGCUGCACCACCAUCUUUUCUCCGACUAACAUUUUCCGGGUUUGCUGCCAUGAAUCCACCGCCUCUUAAUUUCUGGGUUUUAGCUUUUUGGCUUCCCUGCGUGCUUUUUACUCACUCUCUCUCGAGUUCUUUUAAAUUAAAACGGGAUUGAAAUUUAAAAAAAAAAAAAAUUGCAUGAAAUUUGAGGGUAUUUGAUUAAUUUGAAAUAUUUAAUUAUGAUUUUAAACUAAAUUAUAAAAUUUGGUGAUAUUCAAUUGUGGUUUUAAAUUAUGUUUUAAAAUUCGAUGGUAUUCAAUUUGUAUUAUUUAAAAUCUAUUAAAAUUUGAUGUUAUUCAUGGAUUUUUUUUGAUAUCGUAAAAUGAUGGAUUUUGUGACAUUUUUCUGUGUAUUUUAAGUUUUUUUGAUCUCAUCAAAAUCAAUGAGAUUUUAAAAUAUUGUGCCUAAAUCCUAUCAACUCUGCGACAUUUUAUCAAAAAUCUGCACAAAUCAAAAUCAGAUACAAUCCAUUAAAAUCCAUAAACUAAAAACAAUUCAUUAAAAUCUCAAUCGAAUACACCUGUUAGUGUACAAAAUCACGAGGGUCGGUGCUCUUCAGAUUUCAUUCGGUUCGAUUGAUCAUAUUUAAUCCUAUUUCAAUUCGAUUUUUGGUAAGAAAAUUUCAAAAGUUCAGUUAUCCGGUUUCAGCCGCGAUUAAUUAUAUAUACGAAUUUAUUACUCGGAUUAAUUUAUAUUAAAUAUAAAUAUUUAAUAUAAGUUACGUAGGAUCUAAUGUUUUAGUAUUACACAUAGUCGGACUGUUCUUGCUACUUAGUUGCUGGAGAUUCUUAUCUUGAAUUUGGAAUUUAAGCUUAACUUUUUAAAUUAAUGAUCAUUGUAAUUAGAAACAAAAAGAUCACAACAACAAUUUUGUGUUAUCUGCGCUCACUCAAUAGUCAAUAGCAAUCUUCAAAAACUUUUUAAAAUUUCAGUUUAUAAAAAUCUCCCCAUGAUACAUUUUGCUGAGUUGUAGAGCUGGAAUAGCUGAAAUCAAGUCCAUCAGCAUGAAAAACUUUCAAGGAUUUCAUCUUCCUCGUCUCCACAGGAAGCAUACCAAGAAUUGAGCAACCUGAUAUGAUUAGUGUCAGAUGAUGGGAGUUUUCACAGUGAUCAUGCACAAGUGACAUGAGAUAGCAAGCAUGGAUGAAAAACAGAACCCGUCACGCAAUUCGGAUGUAGUUCUCUGUUUCUAGGGAGAUUAUCUGUCACAGAAAUAUCUACGUUAAAAUCCCACAUUAAACAGCCUCAGACAUUAGAUUAAAGUGUAUUUAGUUACCUAAGACAUCAGAACGCAAAUCAGAUGGGUCGAUGAUAAGAAUUUCCCAGUAAUCAAGCACAUAAGACAUGAGAUAGUAAGCAUAUAUGACAGCUAAACCAUAUAUAUGACAAGUCAAAUUUUAGGUACCUCUGGAUUUAAGAACAAAUGCUCCACCAGCAUCUUUUCGGCAACUAUUUUCAGCAAGUACAGUACCAUUUUCCGGGUUUGCUGCCUUCGCACUUGCCAUGAAUAAUGAACUGGACUAAAUGCUGCACCAGCAUCUAUAUAAGUUUUAUACAUAUAACAUAUAUGUAUACUUAGCAAAAAAAAAACAUAUAUGUACAAUUAUUUAUUGGGUUAAAUGGCGUUUUAGUCACUCAACUGAGUAGAAACUUGCAAUUGGGUCAUCCAACUCAAAAAACUUUCAGUCACAUCAUUAUACUCUUAAAAAAUUUUAUUCAGGUCACUUGCUGUUACACUCCGUUAAAAAUUUGACGGAAAGCUGACUAGGGGUCGUGACUUGGCUUAAAUAAAUCCACUGUGGCAUGUACAGUCAGCUGAAUUGACAUUUGGGUCACUCAACUGACUACAAACUUGCAAUCAUGUCAUCAAACUCAAAAAACUUUCAUUUAGAUCACUUAUCAUAAAUAUCCGUUAAAAAUUGAAAAAAAAAAGAAUUGAAAGCUAUCAUGCAACACCUUUUUUCUCUCUUAAAAAUUUCGAAACUUUUUUUUUUGUCACAUUGAAAAUUUCGAAACUUAUUAACGAAUGAAACAAAUAGACACACAUAAAAUCAGUAUUUGUUUCAUUUAAUUUAUGUGUGUGUAUUUGUUUCAUUCGUUAAUAAGUUUCGAAAUUUUUAAGAGAGAAAUAAAGAUGUUGCAUGAUACAUUUUAAUUCUUUCUUUUUUCAAAUUUUAAUCGAUUUUAUGAUAAGUGACCUAAAUGAAAGUUUUUUGAGUUUGAUAUCCCAAUUGCAAAUCUGUAGUCAGUUGAGUGACCAAAAUGCCACUUCAGCUGACUGUACAUGCCACGGUGGAUUUAUCUAAGACAAGUCACGACGCUUAGUCAGCUUUCCGUCAAAUUUUUAACGGAGUGUAACGGCAAAUGGCCUGAAUGAAAAUUUUUAAGAGAAUAAUGAUGUGACAGAAAGCUUUUUGAGUUGGAUGACCCAAUUGCACGUCUCCGCUCAGUUGAGUGAUCAAAACGCCAUUUAACCCAUUAUUUAUUAUAGACAUAGACAUACAGAAAGAAAGUGUGGCUGAUUGCUCAGCUACAAAAGUAAAAAAUGAAAAUAAGUAUGGAAUUAAAGGCGGCAUACAGAUCAUAUACAGAAGUGCUUUUCGGGAACAACACACCAAUUUCAACAGCUGAUACUAGAGCUUAGUUUGAUACUGAAAUAAAACAAUGGGGAAAGUGCAUUGAUCAUAACGGCUCCUCUGCAUAAUGAAAAAGCUUCUGAAUACAACACGUGUCUGUAGGAUGUAGGACAUAAUUAGUUGAGUUCACUGUCAGGACUCGAGGGCUUACCAUUCUCCAAUGCCAUAUAAUUUCCAAAAUAUCUCUCCAACCAGCGGUCUAUAUUGGCUGAUUCUAUCCCAGCUAGGAAGCACGAGUGCGGGUGCGGGGGUGCGGGUGCCACCGAUGUAUACUUGUGUCGUUCCAUGAUAUGCCGAUGGCUUCCUUUCCGAUGGGAUGACAUACUGAGAUAUUUGCUCACAUGUUUCUUGGAUUUUUUGUCUUUUGGCUAAAUGAAAACCUUCCUGUUCUUGCUCUUCAUACACAAGAUAGACGCCAAUCUCUUUCAACUCAAAAUGGUCAUCAUCUAAAUGAUCAGCUACUGAAAUCUUGACCUCAUCUCCAGGUCCCACCUCGUGAGUACCUAAUUUCCAGUGGCAUAUCCAAGUCAUAUAUUCAUCACCUUCAGGGAUGCCAUAACAGAUUGGAUGAUACAAAAUCAUUUUAUGUUUGGUCAUGUUAUGGAAUACCAGGUAGAAAGUCCUCUUUCUUCGAACCGAGCUCAGUUUGUACACAAUGCAAGUGUUUAAGUAUCUAAGUUUAGAAUGUGAUAUCAUAAAGGAUAAUGAAGGCCCGUAACUUUGAUUAGUGAACCAUGUUGGAACACUGCUCCCAGGGUAAAAUAUGUUUAAUGAUUUACACCCAAAUGGAAAUUCGUGUACUCCCUGUAAAAAAAAAUGGGUCAGAGAUAAGGUCAAAAAAGAAAAAAUAUAAAAUUAUAUGGGUAUAUUUGUGAAUCAAAAACUUCCUAUCUCCAGCAAAAACUCAUUAAAUAUACCUCUCAUUUUGGCUUUAAAAAUAUAUGUAACUAAAUGCCAUGACUAAUUUGUAAAUAAUCAACGACGUCUUGGUUAGAUCUCACACCCCGUUUAUCGGAUUGCUCCAUUCUUAGACAAGAUCAGGUGUGCUGGGUGUGUGCUAAUAAUUAUAAAAAAUAUAAAUAAAUUAUUUAGAGCAAGUUUUUAUAAUUUCGAGUUCGCAGCGGUCUAAAUAAAUUAUUUAGACCAAGUUUUUAAAAUUUUGAGUUUACAGAUUUAUCAUCAUAGGGUACAUACAUAUAUACCAGAUAUAUAAAUAUGGAAAUGAAAAGCCCAGUGUCUUAUUAUGGGUGUGGAGUCAGAGAUCACCUGGAUUGAGCAUCGUGUUUCGGCAGCGGUCAAUUCAUUGUAUAAUCUAAUGUGGAUAACUUUCAUGGAUUCCACAUCACAAAUACCACAAUUGCUGAUCAAUUCUGGGUCUAUCUCAUCUAUUGGUGCAAUCUUGAAGCCAUAGUCCAUCUCAAGUAAUUUCUCACAGUGUAACGGAAAAGAACAAGUUUUACACUGAGCUUUAAUUUUCUCCAAUAAUCGGCAAUGAGUAACCGCAAGAGACUCUAUUUUUGGUAAUCCUUCAAGUGUUUGAAGCUGGUUGCAAUUCCGUAAUUCGAGACGUUUGAUCUCUUCUAGACCUUUAAAGCAAUCUGGUAGAAAGCGGAUUGGGUUCUGACUCAGGUUUAAGUGUUCAAGUGAGGAUGCGACUCUAAAAUCCUUGGGAAAUGAACUAUCUUGUAGAUUGCAAUGUACCAGACUCAAUCUUGUAAUGGAAUUGAAUGGUAAAGAAGUCAACGAGAGUUUGGGACUUGUACUUGGUCCAGAUACCAAACCCCAGAUGAAUUCUCGCCAUGAAAUAUUUUGAUUUGUACAACUUUCAAUUCCAUCAGAUGAAUUACCAAAAUUGAGUCCAUCAGCAUGAAAUGUUUUUAAGGAUUCCAUCUUUCUCAUAUCCGUCGGAAACAUACCAAGACUUGAACAACCUGAUAUGAUUAGUGUUUCUAGUAACUUGAGCAUGCAUAAAUUUUCUGGAAGCUUUUUUAAAAGUUUGCAGUCUUUUAAAUUUAUCAACACAAGUCCUUGAGCCAUUCCAAUAGAUUCGUCAAUCUCAAUUAAACGUGCACAAUCUUCGAGGAGCAAUUGCUCAAGAGCGCAAAGUGUUGCAAAGUCUGGGGUUUUCACAAGGCCAUUGCAGUGGCUUAGAUUUAGAAACUUUAAUGAUCCAAGAAGCUGCAAGACAUGGAUUCAAAAGAAGACAGCGUUAAUUUAAUAUAUUUAACCCAGAAUCUUUUUCAUCAAAUUUUUUAAUACGAGAAAGCAGAUAUUAGCAAGGCCUACCACGUUUCCUUGAUUAAAGGUUUGCAGUUUACUACUCUGCAUGUCAAUUGCAACUAAGCUACUUAAAGGGAAGUCAGCCGGUAAAGACGUUAAAGGGUAUUUAUGCCAACAUAACCAUUUCAAAUUUUUAGGGAAGUCCUUGUAACCUCCACUUAGUCGUACAUUAUUCAGCUUAAGUAGUCUUAGCUUUUGCAUCAAGAAAAAAGCUUUUGUUCUUAACUCCGCCGGAUAUGCAUUAGUUGUAUUCAUAUCUAGUGCCAGGCCUUCAACUGCUCCGGUUCCCUGGUGAACAUGAUGAACAUAAGCAGUAGCACUAUAGUUCAACUUUGAUAAAAAAUAAUGUGACUGUAAUAUAAGUAAAAAUUAUCCUUCUUACAGUUUCAUCUUUUAAUACUUUGAGGGAGUCUCUGCAAUGCCACAGUCUACUCCUUUGCCCUGGAUCUCUAGGUGAUUGCUGACGUAUUAUUUCUCUACCCAUGCUCUGAACUAAUUGAUGCAUUUUAAGAUUUCCAUAUUUAUCAGUCUUCAGUAAACAUCUAUCAAUAAGAUUAUCAAUUCCAAUUAAUGUGUAAUAACCACAUUCAUCUAGUAUCCCAACCACGAAAGACUUGGCCUCUCCACUAAAGAAACAUACAAUCUCCAGAAACAAAUCUCUAUCAUGGUCAUCUUGCAAAGAGUCGUAACUUAUUCUCAAAAUCUUCUGGAUCUUGCAGUGAGGAAUGGUUUCCAGUUUUUCUAUCGCACUCCUCCAAACAUCUAACUUCUUGCCACGUAGAGAAGCUCCUAGAACCUUAAGAGCUAAAGGAAGACCUUGGCAUAGCUUUAUUAUCCUCUCUGAGUGCUCUAUGUAACAUUCUGAGGGGCUACUGUCUUGGAAUGCAUGCAAACUAAACAACUCCAAUGAAUCAUCAGAAUUUAAUGUUUUUAUAGCAUAUCUCGUACAAUGCUCAAAAGCAUUCAGCAAAUGCACAUUCUGAGUGGUUAUGAUAAUUUUGCUUCCCUGGUGGAACCACUCUCGCAUACCAAAUACUGCAUCUAGUUGUUCAACUUCAUCCACAUCAUCCAAGACUAUUAGAAGCUUUCUGUGAUGAAGGGCACUUUUUAUCUUAAGCAUGCCAUCAUUAAUAUUUUUUAUUGUUGGCGACUCUCGGUUGGAAAUAUUAGAAAGGAGUUGUCUUUGUAGACACACUAAACCAUCAGAGCGUUCAGAAUAUUCUCUUAUAUUUUCCAAGAAACUGCCACCUUCAAAUAGUUGAAAGUUCAUGUUGUAAACGUAUUUGGCAAUGGUUGUCUUUCCCACUCCUCCAACGCCAUAAAGUGCAAACACUUCCACAUUGUCAGAACCAUUUCUUAACCAUAAACCGAUGUCAUGUACUGAAGGACCAAUUCCAACUAGAUGUCUUGUCAUACUUAAGGUGUUACAUGUCACUUUAUCCUUAAGUAUGUUAAUUAUUUUCUGGAUAACUUUUGAUUCAUACCUAUAGAAUUGAUAGAAAGCAAAAGGAAAAAAAAAGUUAUACUAACAGGUUAAAUUGAUAAUGAACAUAUGUUAAUAUAACCAAUAUCAUUACACACGCAUGUAAUAACAAGUGAUCUGUAAGAACAUCAACAUAUUAAGAUUAGCUGGAAUUAAAAACCUCAGUCUCGCAUAGUAAGAAGUGAUUAAGACUAAUUUAAGAAGCCACCCAUAGCAUUAAGUUGCAAUCAAAUACACCAUAUAAACUAGAAGUGUCACAUGUACAGGGUAAAAAAAGGUCCAUGUAAAUUUAUUCCAUUAUAGUUAAUCAAACUAAGUGAACAGAAACACUGCCUACAAAAAAAUGUAUUUCCCCUGCACAGGGUGUUUCUUACCUCUAGAACCAAUAUUUACAGAAUCAUCUGAGAUAGUAGAAUAUACAAUGAACAUAAAGUGGACUUAACAUUAAAGGGAAUAACCACAUAAGGAAAUCAGGAAAAGAGUAGAAACAGAAAAAAAAGUCAAAUUUAAGAGGAAAAAAAAUGUAUUACCCAUCAGCCACAUUCUGCAAAGGCAUGCCUCCCAAAUUGGCAACCUGAGUAAGAGCAGUCCUUAAUGAAGGAAGUCAAUGUUCGUGAAGCUGCAUUUAUCCUAAGUAGUAAAUAAAUGCAGCUUCACGAACAUUGACUUCCUUCAUUAGUCCUCCAUCGAGUUAUUUUGUCCAUCAAAUUCUUCCUUUUUGUCUCAUCCACCUCCCUCCUGAAUUUUUCUUCAUGGUAAUCUAUUGCUUCAGAUACACAACCAGAUUGUUUGCGAACAUCAGACGGAUCAACAUGGUAAAAAAUAGGCAAUAGAAAACGUUUCGAGUUGUUCCUGCACUCAAGAAUCAACACAAGUUCGUCAAGGCACCAACUCGAAAAUGCAUAGUUCUUUGAGAAUACAACGAUCCAGCUUCUUGACUGCUGGAUACCAUUUUCCAGUUCAGACUUGAUACUCUCCCCCCUCUCAAUCUCCUCAUCAUCUCUGAAAGUGAUCAGUCCUUCAUUUUUCAAUGCAGUAUACAGGUGAUCUGUAAACGUCUUGCGAGUAUCUUCACCACUAAAACUCAAAAAUACAUCAUAACGAUACUUUUCAGCUAAUGACUCUGAAGAUUUCAGUUUCAGCAUAACUGAAAGAUAAAAAAUCUAUUCUCGUUUUCUUUUGAUUGAUCGAAGGUAAAAUGUAGUAGCUUUGAUAUUCAAAUCCACCACCACAACCAAUACUUGACAUUAGCGGCCACUUUUUCUUAUCUUUACUUUACAAUUGUCUUGAAGCUCAAAGAUCUGACAUCCACGAAGUUGCUUCACAAUUGCAAGCCUGUUUCACUUGUCACUUUCCUCUAGGAAAAAGUACACCUAUUAUAUACUUUUACUAAAAAAAAUUAUAUAAUGUGAAAAUUUUCCCGCAAUAAGUCCUUAUUUUAAUCAAAUAACGCUAGACAUGAGAUAUUUAUGAAGAUACGAGAAAUUUGAAAUUACAACAAGAGGGGGUGAAUAAGUGUAUUAUGGCUUACUUUUCCUUGAACUUUUACCAACUUUUAUAGCUGAGUAAGCAUUCUGCAGUGCCUAAGACAAUGGAUUAUUGUUUUCGAUUAAAUAGUGGAUUAGCAGCUAUUAUGCAUACAAUGAUAAAAAUAGAAAGUUAAUAAGGCAGAAGACAUUUUGCGAGUAUCUUUGCCACUAAAACUCAAAAAAUAUUAGAUAACCCAAAAAAAAGCCCUAAAUUCUACAGAACUGCCACCAGCCAGGAUAAUGGGAGACAAGAUUAUUCUGCUACCUUAGAUUAGUAAAACUUUUUUUAUUUUAAAAGAAUCUGAGCAAAGACUUUGACACAUAAAAUAGUGAUGUGAGAUCAUCCCACAGUGGCCGGUGGGUUAAAUUCACUAGGCUUUACAGAUUUUCAUGAGAAAAUCAACUUUAGGAAGUGGUUUUGUUCAUAAUUAAUGAGUCCGGUUAAUGGUAAACAGAACCUGAAACUUAUGUGUUGGUGUUUAUUUACUGGGCUGUGACAUGCAAUGAGAACCUCAAUCCACUUGGAAAGUAAAUCAUUCUUUAUUUGGGAUAUCCAUUCUCAUACCUUUUAGAGAUUUGCAUGUUGUAAUUUAAAUUAAUCAAACACUCGGGCUAUCAAAAAGAAUAAGAGGACGUUUGGAUCGCGAGUGUGAAGGAGAAUGAAAGAUACGGGAAUGAGUAGUAUGGGAAUGGGUGCAAGGAAUGAUUGGGAUUAACAUUUUGUACAUAUGUGGAGAAAGUACCUGGAAGCUGCAGCAUAGCAGGCAAGUCAGUGGUCUGGUCUCUGAAUCUCCUGUUCAAGUGUUGAGAAAAAUGGGCGAUGUUAGGCAGAUAGCACCAUAUUAUACCCCACAUUCGAGUAUGUCGUAAUUUAAGAAUUAUUAAGGUGUAAUAAUCACAUUCAUCUAGUAUCCCCACCACGAAAGACUUGGCUUCUCCACAAAAGAAACACGCAAUCUCCAGAAAUAAAUCCCUAUCAUGGUCAUCUUGCAAAGAGUCAUAACUAAUUCGCAAAAUCUUAUGGAUUUCGCAGUGAGGAAUGAUUUCCAACUUUUCCAUCGCACUCCUCCAAACAUCCAUCUUCUUGCCACGUAGAGAAGCACCCAGAACCUUAAGAGCUAAAGGAAGACCUUGGCAAGUUGGCAUUGCUUUAUUAUCCUCUCUGAGUGCUCUAUGUAACAUUGCGGGGGUGAACUGUCUUGAAAUGCAUGCCAACUGAACAACUCUAAUGAAUCAUUGGAAUUCAAUGUUUCUACAGCAUAUCUCGUACAAGGAAAAUGCUUGGUGCACAUAAUUGUGUACAAAAACAUGUACAUAAUAACAUGUGGUGGAUUUUGAUUGGAUGGACCCCCCGCAUUUACACCAACCACCCCAAUAAAAACCCACCACAUCACUUGUCACAUCAUUAUGUACAAAUUUUUUGUACACAAUUAUGUGCACUUAGCACUACUCCCCGUACAAUGUUCAUAUGCAUUCAGCAAACGCUCUUAAUUUCUGGGUUUUUUCAACGUUUGAUACUUAGGUUUUGGCUAAAAUUUAAAUAUAUCAUAUGAUUAAGAAAAAUAAAAAAAAUUAGAAUAUUUGAAAUUACAUCGUUAUUUUAAAAUAUAACUUUCUAUUGUUUAAAAUAAUAUAUAAAUAUUUUUAAAUAUUAAAUCAAAGAUCGGUCAAUUUAACUUAUUGAAAAUCAAAAUAGAUAUAUAAUAUGGGACGGAGGUAGUAGUUCAAUUCGAUUGUCGGCACAUUUCAGUUAUCCGAUUUUAACGUGAUUAAUAUACAAAUACUAAUCGGAUUAAUUUAUAUUAAAUGUAAAUUACAUAGGAUCUAAUGCUUUAGUAUUAGACAUAGUCGGGCUGUUCUGGCUGUUUAGUUGCUGAAGAUUCUUAUUUCGAAUUUGGAAUUUAAGCUUAACUUCUAAAAUUAAUUGUCGUUGUAAUUAGAAACAAAAUGAUCACAACAACAAUUCUGGUGUUAUCUGCGCUCACUCAGCAGUCAAUACUCAAUAGCAAUUUUCAAAUACUUUUUUAAAUUUCAGUUUACAAAUUCGAUUUUCAAUAAAUAACCGAAGUUUAAAUUUCGGUUCGACGGAAACUUUUAAUGAAUUUCAAUUCAGCAGAAAUAUCAUUUUAUCUUUGGUCUUGUUAUGCAAUAUGAGGUAGAAAUAUUUUCCUUGACCAUGUUUCAAUUUGUACACAAUACAGGUAUUCAAUCAAGUAUCUUAGUUUAGAAUUUGAUAUGAUAAAAAGAAGGGAAAAUUAAAUUGCAGGUCCCUGAACUAUUGAUAUUUUAUUGUCUAGGUCCCUGAACUAAAGAUUCCGUAUUUCAGGUCACUUAACUUUUUUGUUUUCUGAUCUAAGUCCUUCCGUCAAAAAGAUUCUAACGGUGUUAACUAGGGUUCUUGAGUUUCAUACAGAUCAAAGCAAUUUUGAAGGUGUUAGUGAUAUCCAAAUUCAAAGUUCAAGUAGUCAAAUUGAAGUUUGAGUCGCUGGCGACACUCAUAUGACACCAAUUUUCAAAAAUUAUGUUCAAUUUAAAAUUUUAAAAAUUUAGGUCACUAAAUUCGAUAAAGAACCCUAAAUUUAUGGUCCAAUUUGGGGGUUUUUUAAAAUUAAAUCUUAUUUGUGAUAAUUGUUGUCAUAUAAGUGUCGCUAGUGAUUGAAGCUUCAAUUUGACUAUUUGAACUUUGAGUUUGGAUAUCACUAACGCCUUCAAAAUUGCUUUGAUCUGUAUGAAACUCAAGAACCCUAGUUAACACCGUUAGAAUCUUUUUGACGGAAGGACUUAGAUCAGAAAAUAAAAAAGUUAAGUGACCUAAAAUACGGAAUCUUUAGUUCAGGGACCUAUACAAUAAAACGUCAAUAGUUCAAGGACUUAUAAAUUAAUUUGCCCUAAAAAGAAUACUGAAGGCAAUUAAUUCUGAUUAGUGAACCAUAUCUAAACUCUGCUUCCAGAAUAAGGAUGAUUAGUGAACCCCUCUUAAUUUGUACACAAUACAGGUGUUCAAUCAAGUAUCUAAGUUUAGAAUUUGAUAUGAUAAAAAAGAUACUGAAGGCACAGAAUUCUGAUUAGUGAACCAUAUUGAAACUCUGCUCCUAGAGUAAGGAUGAUUUGUACCGAGGAUUAUUCCCAUAUAUUUACCUGCAUGGAAUCAAUAGUUAAAGCUUUAACAAAAUUAUUAAUCUGGAGCAUCUGAUUCUUCUAUUUUUUGGUAAAUCUUCUAUGCGGAGAAUCUUGACCUCUUUUAAACCUUAAAGCAAUAUGGUAGAAAGCGAAUAGGGUUCUUACUCUUUUAAAACCCUGGGAAAUGAACUAUCAUGUAAAUUGCAGUUUACCAAACUCAAGCUCGUAACGGAGUUGCGCGGUAAAGAAGACAAUGAGAGUUGGGGACUAAUUUCUCUGUUUCGAAACCAAACCACAGAAAAAUUCUUCCCAUGAUACAUUUUGCUGAGUUGUAGAGCUGGAAUUGCCGAAAUUAAGUCCAUCAGCAUGAAAAACUUUCAAGGAUUCCAUCUUACUCAUCUCCACAGGAAGCAUACAAAGAUUUGAACAACCUGAUAUGAUUAGUGUCAGAUGAUGGGAGUUUUCACAGUAAUCAAGCACAAGUGACAUGAGAUAGUAAACAUAGACGAAAACAGAACCCAUCACGCAAAUCGGAUGUAGUUCUCUGUUACUAGGGAGAUUAUCUGUCACAGCAAUAUCUAUGUUAAAAUCCCACAUGAAACAGCCUCAGAGGCUCAGACAUUAGAUUAAAGUGUAUUUAGUUACCUAAGACAUCAGAAGCAAGUUCACACAAAUCAGAUGUGUCGAUGAUAAGUGUUUUCCCAGUAAUCAAGCACAUAAGACAUGAGAUACUUAGAAUAGAUGACAACUGAACCAUCACAAAUUCAAAAUCCAUCUAAACUUAAAUGGCAAAGCCAGCACUGUUACUAGUAUUUGAUUUUGUUCAACAGGUCACUAGAAAUAAGUAAAAAGACAACAAAAAUUGAAAUUACUGAAUUCAAGAACCAUUUACCUUCGGAUUCAAGAACAAACUCUACCAGCAUCUUUUCUGCGACUAUUUUCAGCAAGUACACUCCCAUUUUCCGGGUUUGCUGCUGUCUUGACACUUGCCAUGAAUAAUGAACCGGACUAAAUGAUGCACCAGCAUCUCUAUAAGUUUUAUACAUAUAACAUAUAUGUGCAAUUAGUCAUAUAUAGACAUAGACAUACAGAAAGAAAGUGUGGCUGAUUGCGUAGCUAGAUAAGUAAAAAAUGAUAAUAAGUAUGAAAUUAAAAGCGGCAUAGCAGAUCAUAUACAGAAGUGCUUUUCAGCAACAACACACCAAUUUCAACAGCUGAUACUAGAGCUUAGUUUGAUACUGAUAUAAAACAAUGGGAAAGUACAUAGAUCAUAACUGCUCCUCUGCAUAAUGAAAAAGCUUCUGAAUACAACGCGUGUCUGCAGGAUGUAGGACAUAAUUAGUUGAGUUCACUGUGAGGACUCGAGGGCUUACCAUUCUCCACUGCCAUAUAAUUUCCAAAAUAUCUCUCCAACCAGCGAUCUUUAAUGGCUGAUUCUAUGCCAGCGAUGUAUACUUGUGUCGUUCCAUGAUAUGCCGAUGGCUUCCUUUCCGAUGGGAUGACAUACUGAGAUAUUUGCUCACAUGUUUGUUGGACUUUUUGUCUUUUGGCUAAACGAAAACCUUCCUGUUCUUGCUCUUCGUACACAAGAUAGACGCCAAUCUCUUUCAACUUAAAAGAGGAAUCAUCAUCGUACUUAACUAUUGAAAUCUUGACAUCAUCUCCAGGUCCCACCUCGUGAGUACCUAAUUUCCAGUGGCAUAUCCAAGUCAUAUAUCCAUCACCUUCAGGGAUGCCCCAACAGAUUGGAUGAUACACAAUCACUUUAUCUUUGGUCAUGUUAUGGAAUACCAGGCAGAAAGUCCUCAUUCUUCGACCCGGGCUCAUUUUGUACACAAUGCAAGUGUUUAAGUAUCUAAGUUUAGAAUGUGAUAUCAUAAAGGAUAAUGAAGGCCCGUAACUUUGACUAGUGAACCAUGUUGGAACACUGCUCCCAGGGUAAAAUAUGUUUAAUGAUUUACACCAAAAUGGAAAUUCGUGUACUCCCUGUAAAAAAAAAUGGGUCAGAGAUAAGGUCAAAAAAGAAAAAAUAUAAAAUUAUAUGGGUAUAUUUGUGAAUCAAAAACUUCCUAUCUCCAGCAAAAACUCAUUAAAUAUACCUCUCAUUUUGGCUUUAAAAAUAUAUGUAACUAAAUGCCAUGACUAAUUUGUAAAUAAUCAACGACGUCUUGGUUAGAUCUCACACCCCGUUUAUCGGAUUGCUCCAUUCUUAGACAAGAUCAGGUGUGCUGGGUGUGUGCGAAUAAUUAUAAAAAAUAUAAAUAAAUUAUUUAGAGCAAGUUUUUAUAAUUUCGAGUUCGCAGCAGUCUAAAUAAAUUAUUUAGACCAAGUUUUUAAAAUUUUGAGUUUACAGAUUUCUCAUCAUAGGGUACAUACAUAUAUACCAGAUGUAUAAAUAUGGAAAUGACAAGAUGAUAUAUACUAAGCAAACAAAGUGUCCAGUGUCUUAUUAUUGGUGUGGAGUGAGAGAUCACCUGGAUUGAUAAUCGUGUUUCGGCAGCGGUCAAUUCAUUGUAUAAUCUAAUGUGGAUACCUUUCAUGGAUUCCACAUCACAAAUACCACAAUUGCUGAUCAAUUCUGGGUCUAUCUCAUCUAUUGGUACAAUCUUGAAGUAAUAGUCCAUCUCCAGUAAUUUCUCACAGUUUAACGGAGCAUAAAAAGUAUUAAUACACUGACCAGGCUUCCACGUGAUUUUCUCCAAUAACUGGCACCAUCGAACCUUAAGAAGUUUUAUUUUUGGUAAUCCUUCAAGUGUUUGAAGCUGGUUGCACUUCCAUAAUUUGAGAGACUUGAUCACUUCUAGACCUUUAAAGCAAUCAGGUAGAAAGCGGAUUGGGUUCUGACUCAAGUUUAAGUAUUCAAGUGAGGUUGAGACACCGAAAUCCUUGGGAAAUGAACUAUCUUGUAGAUUGCAAUCUACCAGACUCAAUCUUGUAAUGGAGUUGAAUGGUAAAGAAGUCAACGACAAUUUGGGGCUUGCACUUGGCCUUGAAACCAAGCCCCAGAUGAAUUCUCGCCAUGAAUUAUUUUGAUUUGUAUAACUUUCAAGUCCAUCUGAUGAAUUACCGAAAUUGAGUCCGUCAGCAUGAAAAUUUUUCAAUGAUUCCAUCUUUCUCAUAUCCGCCGGAAACAUACCAACAUUUGAACAACCUGAUAUGAUUAGUGUUUCUAGUAACUUCAGCAUGCAUAAAUUUUCUGGAAGCUUUUUCAAAAGUUUGCAGUCUUUUAAAUUUAUCAACACAAGUCCUUCAGCCAUUCCAAUAGAUUCGUCAAUCUCAAUUAAACUUGCACAAUCUUCAAGGAGCAAUUGUUCAAGAGCGCAAAGUCUUGCAAAGUCUGGGGUUUUCACAAGGCCAUUGCAGUGGCUUAGAUUUAGAAACUUUAAUGAUCCAAGAAGCUGCAAGACAUGGAUUCAAAAGAAGACAGCGUUAAUUUAAUAUAUUUAACCCAGAAUCUUUUUCAUCAAAUUUUUUAAUACGAGAAAGCAGAUAUUAGCAAGGCCUACCACGUUUCCUUGAUUAAAGGUUUGCAGUUUACUACUCUGCAUGUCAAUUGCCACCAAGCUGCUCAGAGGGAAGUCAACCGGUAAGGACCUUAAAGGAUAUUUAUGCCAACAUAACCAUUUCAAAUUUUUAGGAAAGUUCUUGUACCCUCCACUUAGUUGUACAUUAUUCAGCUUAAGCAGUCUCAGCUUGUGCAUCAUCGAAAAAGCUUUUGUUCCCAACUCUGCCUGAUAUGCUUUAGUUGUCUUCAUUUCUAGUGCCAGACCUUCAAUUGCUCCGGUGCCCUGGUAGAAGAAGAACAUAGACAGUAGAAACUGUAAUCAAACUUUGACAAGAAAAAUUGUAAUUGUCACAAUAAGUAAUAGAAGGUGUAGGUUUUUAUCUUACUGCUUCAUCUUUUAAUACUUUAAGGGAGUCUUUACAUUGCCACAGUCUACUCCUUUGCCCAGGAUCUUUUGGUGAUUGCUGACGUAUAAUUUCUCUACCCAUGCUCUGAAUUGAUUGAUGCAUCAUAAGAUUUUCAUAUUCAUCAGUCUUCAGCAAACAUCUAUCAAUAAGAUUUUCAAUUCCGAUUAAUGUGUAAUAAUCACAUCCAUCUAGUAUUCGAACCACAAAACACUUGGGCUCUCCAGUAAAAAAACAUGCAAUAUCCAGAAAUAAAUCUCUAUCAUGGUCAUCUUGCAAAGAAUCAUAACUAAUUCGCAAAAUCUUCUGGAUUUCACAGUGAGGAAUGAUAUUCAAUUUUUCCAUCGCACUCCUCCAGACAUCUACCUUCUUGCCACGUAGAGAAGCCCCUAGAACCUUAAGAGCUAAAGGAAGACCCUGGCAUUGCUUUAUUACCCUCUCUGAGUGCUCUAUGUAACAUUCCGGAGGGUGACUUUCUUGGAAUGCAUGCCAACUGAACAACUGCAAUGAAUCAUUGGAAUUCAAUGUUUCUACAGCAUAUCUCUUACAAUGUUCAUAUGCAUUAAGCAAAUGCACAUUCCGAGUGGUUAUGAUAAUUUUGCUUCCCUGGUAAAACCACUCGCGCAUCCCAGAUAUUGCAUUUAGUUGUUCAACGUGAUCCACAUCAUCCAAGACUAUCAGAAGUUUUCUAUUAUGAAGGGAUCUUUUUAUCUUAAGAAUGCCAUCAUUAAGAUUCUUUAUCUUCGGAGUCUUUCCCUUGGAAAUAUCUGAAAGAAGUUGUCUUUGUAGACACACUAAACCAUCAGAACGUUCAGAAUAUUCUCUUAUGUUUUCUAGAAAACUGUGGCCUUCAAAUAGUCCGAGGUUCAUGUUGUAGACGCAUUUGGCAAUGGUUGUCUUUCCCACUCCUCCAAUGCCAUAGAGUGCAAACACUUCCACAUCCGUGGAACCAUUUCUUAACCAUGAACUGAUGUGCCGUACUAAAGGACCAAUUCCAACAGGAUGUUGUGUCAUACUUAAGGUCUUCUUACAUGUCACUUUAUCCUGGACUACUUUAACGAUUUUCUUGAUAAGUUUUGAUUCAUACCUACAGAAUUGGAAGAAAGUAAAUGAUAGGUUACAUGGAUAGUUUUGGUUAGCAAUGAACAUGUGUUAAUAUUACUAAUGUCACUAAACAGACAUUGAUUAACAAGUAGAAACAAGUGAUCUACGACCAUGGACAAUUUUUGUUUCAUUACAAUUUAUUUCUCAGACCAUCUUGAAAGUGAGGUAAAAGGAAUAUGGAGAUUAAACACAAGGGGUCUAAACAUUAAAGGGCAUACCAGCAGUCAAAUUUGAAAGAGGAGGAAUGUAUUACCCAUUGGCUACGUUUUGCAAAGGCAUGCCUGCCAAAUCAGCAAGCUGAGUAAGAGCAGUCCUCCAUCGCUUUAUUUUGUCCAUCAGAUUCUUCCUUUUUGUCUCAUCCACCUCCCUCUUGAAUUUCUCUUCAUGGUGAUCUAUUGCUUCAGAUAUACAACCAGAUUGUUUGCGAACAUCAGACGGAUCAACAUGGUAAAAAAUAGGCAAUAGAAAACGUUUCGAGUUGUUCCUGCACUCAAGAAUCAACACAAGUUCAUCAAGGCACCAACUCGAAAAUGCAUAGUUCUUUGAGAAGACAACGAUCCAGCUUCUUGACUGCUGGAUACCAUUUUCCAGUUCAGACUUGAUACUCUCUCCCCUCUGAAUCUCUUCAUCAUCUCGGAAAGUGAUAAGUCCUUCAUCUUUUAGUUCUUUAUAAAGGUGAUCCGUAAACGUUUUGCGAGUAUCUUCACCACUGAAACUCAAAAAUACAUCAUAACUAUAAUUUUCAGUUGCUGAUUCUGAACAUUGCAGUUUCAGCAUAACUGAAAGAUAUCAAAUUUGUUCUCUUUUUCUUUUGAUUAAUGAAAGGUAAAUAGCUUAGAUAUUCAAAUCAGGUCUCAUUGUGCAGUAGUCAUCCACCACCACAACCAAUACUUGACAUUAGCGGCCCACUAGCAUGUGCUACCACUUUUUCUUAUCUUUACUUUACAGUUGUUUUGAAGCUGAAAGAUCUGACAUCCACGAAGUUGCUUCACAAUUGUGAGCCUGUUUCACUUGUCACUUUCCUCCGGGAAAAAGUACUACUUUUAUUUUUGAGAUAUUUGAAAAUAAGGAUUGUUGCCCACCUAUUUUUUAUACUAAAAAAAAUUAUAUGAUGUGAAAUUUUUUCCUGCAAUAAGUCUUUAUUAUUAUCAAAUAACGCUAGACAUGAGAAUAUAUAUAAAGAUACGAGAAAUUCGUAUAAUUAAUAUUUAAGUUAUCAUUAGCAAUAGAUUAUUUAUAAAGAUAUGAGAAAUUUGAAAUUACAACAAGAGGGGUUGAAUAAGUGUAUUAUGGCUUACUAUGACUUCAACUUUUACCAACUUUUAUAGCUGACGAAGCAGUCUGCAGUGCCUAAGACAAUGGAUUAUUGUUUCUGAUUAAAUAGUGGGUUAGCAGCUAUUAUGCAUACAAUGAUAAAAAUAGUAAGGUGUAGUAAACUAAAUAAGGCAGAAGACAUUUUGCGAGUAUCUUCGCCACUAAAACUCAAAAAUACAUCACAACGAUGCUUUUCAGCUGAUGACUCUGAAGAUUUAAGCUUCAGCAUAACUCUGAACAAUAUCUGAUAAACUCUCUCUCUGUAAUUCUUUGUAUUGGAUUUGUUAUUUUAGCCAGGAUAAUGGGAGACAGAGAAAUGACCGAACGAAGACCUUGAAACAUGAAACAGUUCCUUGAGAUGGUGUCCAUGAGUUGUCUGAAUUUAACAAACCAAACCAACCUGAUCUCGAAAAAAUAUUAGAUAACCCAAAAAAAAAGCCCCAAAUUCUACAGAAUUGCCACCAGCCAGGAUAACGAGAGACAAGAUUAUUCUGCUACCUUAAAUUAAAAAACUUCAAUUAUUUUAAAGUGAGCUCAUCUCACAGUGGCCGGUGGGUUAGAUUACAUGAGAAAAUUAACUUAGGAAGAGUCCGGUUAACGGGAUUUGGAUCCAAUUAACUUAGGAAGAGUCCGGUUAACGGGAAUCGGAUCCUGGUAUGUGUUGGUAUUUGGAUGUAUCACAAGAACUGAGAUUAUUAGGCUUUGUAUAUUUUCAUCAGAAAAUCAAAUUUUUUUUUUUGGAAGGCGAAAUAUUGCAUAAAUAGAGCAAAGAUUACAGCAUGUCCUGAUACCAAAAGUACUUGAAAAGCCUACCAACUUAGGUCAACAUACUUAAUAAUAUAGAUACAUAAACAGCCAAACAUCAUUAACUAAACAUCAGAAAAUCAAUUAACUUAGAGAUUUGCAUGCUGUAAUUUGAUGUAUGAAAAAGAACAAGUAUCUUGUAUAUAUGCAGAGAAAGUACCUGGAAGCUGUAGCAUAGCAAUUAGCAGGUAAGAACAAUUGGUCUCUGAACCUCCUGUUGGGGGAUUUUAAGAGUUUUUUUUUUUUUUAAAGUUGUAUAUUUUAAUAAAAUUUAGAUGUAAAUAUUAAGAAGGUUUUUAACAUUUGGUAUUCAGUAAAAAAAAGGAGUUUACUUUAAAAAUAAUAAUUUUGUGUACUUUUUUCAAUAAGAAUAAUAAGGUUAACAUUUAUAAACGACAUGAGUGUAUUUUAUAAGAAAAAUGCUUUAUGAACAGAAUUGGUAUAAAAUAUUUUAUGAAAUUAUAUUUGUUAAGUUUUGAUUAGAAUGAAUGUUUGUAUUGUAUGUUAAUAGUCCAAAAUCAAUGGAGUUGAUAUAAAAUUAUACUCAUAAAUCAUUGAGAUUCUUUAUCUAUAAUGUGAUAUGAAAUAUUAGUUUAUUGUGCUUCAAAAGUAUCAGCGUAAUUUUAAAAUAUUACUGACACUCCAAGCAUAAUUUUAAAAUAUUACUGACACUCCAGUGGUAUCACCGUGAUUUCAAAAUAUUACUGACAUCUCACUGCAUUAUCGGUCAUUUCAAAUUUUCAAUAUUCAAUUCAUAUACUUUUGAUUUCCACUAUUUUGUACUCCCAUCGGCACGACACACUGAGAUGAUUUCUCACUUGUAUGUUCCAUCUUUUGUCGUUUGGCUAAAUGAACACCUGCCUGCUCUUCUUCUUCGUACACAAGAUGGAUGCCCAUCUCUUUCACCUCAAACGCGUUAUCAUGGUAGUACCCGCCUCAUCUCCAGGUCCCGCCUCAUGACUACCGAAUUUCCAAUGGCUUAGCCAUGUCAUAUACUCAUCACCUUCAGGGAUGCCAUAACAGGCUGGAUUAUGCACAAUCAUCUUAUCUUUCGUGAUGUUAUGGAAUAUCAGGUAGAAAUAUAUAGGUUUUCCCGGGUUCAAUUUGUACACAAUGCAGGCAUUCAAGUAUCUAAGUUUAGAAUUUGAUAUGAUAAAGGAUAAUGAAGGCACAUAACUUUGAUAAGUGAACCAUAUUGGAACACUGCUCCCAGGAUAAAAAAUACUGAAUGAUUCGCACCGAUGAGGACUAUUCCCAUAUAUUAUUACCUGCACAAUGGAAUCAAUAGUUAAAGCCUUAACGGUCAGAGGCAUAUUUAGUGUCUGAACUUGACACAUUUUAAUGGUGCGUGUACUUUCAAAAUUUUUAAUUUGGAGUUCAGAACCGCCAAAUACUUUCAACCAAACCGACAACUUUAUACAUAUACGGGCCAUCAGAUCUUACUCUAAUCACAUAUAACAAGAAUGUAAUGAUGGAAUUUACAAGCUGAAAACGAGAAAAAAACAUGAAAAAUGCUAGGGACCACAAAAUGAUUCCCGAAUGCUCCGUUGACAAAAGUUGAUUUGAUGUUUAUUUUUAAAUAAAGAGGGCUACAUGCAGGCACAUGAAUAGCACGAAUUAAAUCUCGCUGCUUGAUAUUUAAAAAUCUUUUCAGGGCCCCUAACACUCAGCAGUCACAUAUAGCUAGCACAAAUGUAACUAUGCAACUUACAACCUAAAAAGUAAAAAAUAAUAAACAAUGAACUGAUAAUUGUCUUAUUAUCUGUGUAGAGGGAGGGAGAGAUAGAACACCUGGAUUGGGCAUCUUUUUACUGAAGAUGUGUAACCAUUGUAUAAUCUUCUCUGGGUUGUUUUCAUGGAUUCCACGUCAUAAAUACCAAAAUUGUUGAUCAAUUCUGAGUCUAUUUCUCCUAUUGGUACAACCUUGAAUACGCUUUCCAUCUCGAGUAAUUUCUCACAUUUAUGUGGGAAAGCGUAACCCUCCAAAAAAAGGCCAGGCUUCAAUGAAAUUUUCUCCAAUAAUGGGCAUCUUAAAGCAUGUAAUUUUUUUAUUUUUGGUAAAUCUUCGAGUGUUUGAAGCUGGUUGCAAUCAUAUAUGAUGAGAUUCUUGACCUCUUCUAGACCUUUAAAGCAAUCUGGUAGAAAGCGAAUAGGGUUCUUACUCAAGUUUAACUUCUCAAGUGUGGGUGAGACUCUGAAAUCCCAGGGAAAUGAACUAUCAUGUAAAUUGCAGUUUACCGAACUCAAGCUCGUGAUGGAGUUGCACGGUAAAGAAGUCAAUGAGAGUUGGAGACUAACUUUCUGUUUUGCAACCAAACCCCACAAUAAUUCUCCCCAAGAUACAUUUUGCUGAGUUGUAUAGCUGGAAUUGCCGAAAUCAAGUCCAUCAGCAUGAAAAACUUUCAAGGAUUCCAUUUGUCUCAUCUCCCCAGGAAGCAUACCAAGAUUUGAACAACCUGAUACCUUUAGUGUUUCCAGUAACUUUAGCAUGCAAAAAUUUUCUGGCAAUUUCUUCAAGAGCUUGCAAUCCUUUAAAUUUAUCAACACAAGUCCUCCGACCAUUCCAAUAGAUUCAUCGAUUUCAACCAAACUUGCACAAUCUUCAAGGACCAAUUGCUCAAGAGCACAAAGUUUUGCAAAGUCUGGGGUUUUCACAAGACCAUGGCAGUGGCUCAGAUAUAGAAACUUUAAUGAUCCAAGAAGCUGCAAGACAAGGAUUUAAAAGAAAAAGCAUUAACUUAAAAAUGUAAUGCAGAACCUUUUGCCUCAAAUUUUUUAAUAAGAGAAAGCAGAAAUUAGCAUAUUAUACCAUGUUUCCCUGAUUAAAAGUUUGCAGUUUACUGCUUUGCAUGUCAAUUGCAACUAAGCUGCAUAAAAUUAAGAUACAAGUCCGCAAGAUGGAAAUUGUAAAUCUAAGUAGAAUAUCCUACUACUGGUAUUUUUCCCAAAAAAGAAACAUAAUGAAACAUCACAUAGCACAAGAAUAAGAGACAUUUAUAUUUUUAUUUGGUAUUAUAUUGUCGCGAUUCUAAGUUCAAGACACAAGGCCUGGCAAAUGGUGGAACAGACUGCAAACUGGCACUUGUCGCCUUAUUUAGAGCACAGCAGCUUCAAGCAAACUGGUUAAUAUUACAUUUUUCUAUACUCCACCCGUUCUUGAAAUCUAUUGCACAAAUAAGUACUAUAGAAUGCAUCUAGGCAACAUAAGAACUAUAGAGUGCCUGUGCAUUGGUUAAUGUGUUAAAUUUCACAACAUAGACUUGUAAGAAAUGUGUGCGCGUAUAUAUUAUAGAUGUGAUGUAGUUCUCUGUUCCUAGGGAGAUUAUCUGUUACAAAUAUCUACGUUAAAAUCCCAGAUUAAACAGCCCCAGACAUUAGAUUAAAGUGUAAUUAGUUACCUGAGACAUCAGAAGCAAGUUCACACCAAUCAGAUGUGUCGAUGAUAAGUGUUUUCCCAGUAAUCAAGCACAAAAGACAUGAGAUAGUAAGCAUAGUUGACAACUGAACCAUAAAUAUGACAAGUCAAAUUUGUAGGUACCUUUGGAUUCAAGAACAGGUGCUCCGCUAUCUUUUCUGCAACUAUUUUCUGCGAGUAGACUACCAUUUUCCGGGUUUGCCGCCUUGGCACUUGCCAUGAAUAAUGAACUGAACUGAAUACUUCACCAGCAUCAAUAUAAGUUUUAUACAUAUAACAUAAAUGUACAGUUAGUCAUACAUAGGCAUGCAGAAAGUGUGGCUGAUUGCGCAGCUAGAUAAGUAAAAUAUGAAAUCAAAGGCAGCAUGGCAGAUCAUAUACAGGAAUGCUUUUCGGCAACAACACACCAAUUCAGACAGCUGAUACUAGAGCUUAGUUUGAUACUGAUAUAAAACAAUGGGGAAAGAAAGAACUUGCAAAUACAUAGAUAUAGAGUACAAGCUGAGAGUUUCCAGAUAAAAUAAGACCAUAGAUCAUAACGUCUCCUCUGCAUGAUGAAAAAGCUUCUGAAUAUAACGUGUGCCUGAAGGAUGUAGGACAUAAUUAGUUGAGUUCACUGUCAUGACUCGUGGUCUCACCAGUUCCGACUGUUACAUAAUUUCCAAAAUAUCUCUCCAUCCAGCGAUCUAUAGUGGUAAAGUCUAUGUUAGCGAAGUAAAGUUGUGUCGUUCCAUGAUAUGCCGACGGCUUCCUUUCCGCUGGGAUGACAUACUGAGAUAUUUCCUCACAUGUCUGUUGGAUUUUUUGUCUUUUGGCUAAAUGAAGACCUUCCUGUUCUUCCUCUUCAUACACAAGAUAGACGCCAAUCUCUUUCACCUCAAAAUUGUGGGCAUCAAUAUAAUGAAAUAUUGAAAUCUUGACCUCAUCUCCAGGUCCCACCUCGUGAAUGCCUAAUUUCCAAUGGCAUAUCCAGGUCAUAUAUUCAUCACCU